rnacentral:rRNA from 1 species
GUGAUGAAGGUCUUCGGAUCGUAAAACUCUGUUAUUAGGGAAGAACAUAUGUGUAAGUAACUGUGCACAUCUUGACGGUACCUAAUCAGAAAGCCACGGCUAACUACGUGCCAGCAGCCGCGGUAAUACGUAGGUGGCAAGCGUUAUCCGGAAUUAUUGGGCGUAAAGCGCGCGUAGGCGGUUUUUUAAGUCUGAUGUGAAAGCCCACGGCUCAACCGUGGAGGGUCAUUGGAAACUGGAAAACUUGAGUGCAGAAGAGGAAAGUGGAAUUCCAUGUGUAGCGGUGAAAUGCGCAGAGAUAUGGAGGAACACCAGUGGCGAAGGCGACUUUCUGGUCUGUAACUGACGCUGAUGUGCGAAAGCGUGGGGAUCAAACAGGAUUAGAUACCCUGGUAGUCCACGCCGUAAACGAUGAGUGCUAAGUGUUAGGGGGUUUCC